rnacentral:lncRNA from 1 species
UUUUAGAAGCCUACAGAUGGAAAGAGCGGCUUUCUAAAUAUACUGGAAACAAACUAGAGCUGAGUUGGUGACGGCGUUUGCUGAGGAGCGUUUGGAGCCUGCAGAGAGGGACCUGAACCCGGCAAAGCCUCUGUGGGGUCAGAUCCUCUCCCAAGAGCCGGGCGCUGUUCUCGUUGCAGUUAACCACAAGGUAGGGUUUCAAGUGACCGACCUGCUGGUCCUUGUGCUUAGCUUGGGGAUUUCAUGCAUGAGUUUGGCUAAAUCACCACAGCCCCCCUACUCUGCAGCCCUGAGUGUGAUUCCCUGGUGCUCUGUGAGCACCCAGCUACCGGCUAACCACCAGGCUGGCCUCAACUGGCUCUUCUUUGUGCUCCUGCAGCACAGAGAAUGAAUCUCGUGCAGGAAGUUCUCUGGAAACCAAGGCAGUUUUGUUUUGACACCGCUCUGGGAGUACAAGACAAGAAGCGGGCAGCAGGAGCUGGGCGCAAUGGGACUUUCCUUUCCCUGGGCCUUGUGGCAUGGAGGGGUGAGCGCUGAGGAGCCUGGUGGGGUCCCCACAUCCCCAGCCACCUUCCUCGGCCCUUCCUCGCCUCAGGCCCGAAUGGAGGCAGGGGCAGGGCUGGAAGAGGAGGACGAGAUACGAGGUGUGGGGGGGGGGGCAGCCCCACCUCGGGCUGCGUGACGCGGGUUGCCAUGGCCACCCCGUUUACGCUACAAGGCCCGGCGGGGGCGGGCAGGCGGGCGGGGCCGCUUCAGCACCAGGGCGGCCGCGGACAGCAGCGGCCCCGGCUCGGCGGCGCCUCUCCCGCUGCGGGCUGCGCGGCUGCGGCGCCGGGGCCCUGCUCCGAGCCGGCUCCGGAGGUGGGGGGGGAGCCCUCACGGUCAGUCCCGGUCCCGGUUCUCAGCCCCGACACCGCCCGGCAGCACGGCCCCGGAGAACCAGGGGUACCGGGAGGUACCGGGGGGUACCCGGGGGGGCUCCUCCGGGCGGUGGCGGCGCCGGGAAAGUUUGGGAAGCUCGGAGCUCGGAGCCCGGAGUGGGGCCUCGGUGAGGACACGGCGAGUUUGGUCGGCUUUUGCUUUCCCUGGGAGGUUCACGUUUUUAUCAGUGACAAGAUGACAAUUCGUAUUUUUACCAAAGGAUCCAGUGACUCAUCCUAUUAAACUGCUGGGAUACGUGCUUGCCAAUUGUCCUGCCACGGUAAGUCCAUGGGAUUUUGCAUUUUCUCUGGACAUAUUAUUCACGAAUUAGUCCACAGCAUUCAUUCGGUAUUACAAAUAGUAUUUACCUGAAGAUGUAACUUCUCAGUGAUGACCAGAGCCCAAAGUAGUCUAAAGAUUGCAUAUCACAGCUAUUUUGUUUAAGUUAUUACAAGGUUAGCACAAGUAGAAGAUUGACCAUACUCAUACCAUACCAUAUACAAGGCUGAACCUGAAGGCCAUGUAAGAAGCACCCUCAUGUUGUGAGAAGUGAUAAAAAAGCACAAUGUGGCUGGCCUUGAAAACGCUACCCUGUGAGAUCCACAUGCAGCUGAUAAUGAAUGUACUGUGAGUCAUGAUGGAAAACUUCAACAUCCAAAAAAAAAAACCAUCUCCAGGAUAACAUAACAUGGAUUAUGCAUUAGUAUCAGUUGCCCAAAGUAAACUCCUUAUUUAUUUGGUCCCUCCUGAGAACUGCCAUGCUAUUGAGCCAAUAUCCUGCAACAUUUCAGCAGAUGUCUAGGCUGCUCAGUUCCUUUUCGCAGCACUGUGCUACAGGAGAGUAUGGCUGCCCUCGUGCUAUACUGUUCUGCAAAUCCAUUCAAUCUGGGAGAAGAGAUGAUGCAGGCUGGUACACAACUGUGUUGUUUUUCCUUGUUCCUUGGUUGGGUUAGAGAAAAGGUAGGAAACAUUUUAGUUCAUAACGUCUCUGCUUCUCUUCUACAUGCUUGUUUUGCCCUUGAAGGUGAUGUUCUGUGGCACGGUCCAAGCAAACCACUCUCUGUUGAAGCCUGUUUUGCACACCAUCCAGCCUUAUCUCAUCAGAGAAGAGCAUAUGGCUUUGAGUUAUUAUUUGUUAUUUCAGGGUAACUAGAUGGUAACUGUACUGAAAACUUAUGGCAAAUCAUGCGUUAUCUCACAAUAACAGGAUAAAUAAACAGUAUCUUCACUGCA